UCAACAUCACUAUACAUCAUAAACUUGAGCCAUUGCUCACAAUGUGUUGUAACUGCAGCAAAUCUCUUUACAUUCAAGGAGAAUACUAAUGCAGCCGUGCCCAGAAACAGGCAGUUGCAGAAAGUGAUGGUGAACACAGAGAGGCGUAUUGAUUCAGAAGAACUCACUCAGCCUGAGUCUCUGACUGUUCGUCCUGAUGCCGCUCUCACUAUCAACUGUAAAGUCUCCUAUUCAGUUACAAGCUAUGCUACAGCCUGGAUUCGUCAACCUGCAGGAAAAGCUCUGGAGUGGAUUGGAUUGAUCGACUAUGAUGGAGACUUAUACUACAAGGAUUCCCUGAAAAGCAAGUUCAGUAUCAGCAGAGACACUUCCAGUAACACAAUAACACUGAAAGGACAGAAUAUGAGAGCUGAAGACACAGCUGUGUAUUAUUGUGCCAGACACACAGUGACAGACGCUAACAAGAUUCCUGUACAAAAACACCAUCAUCGCAUUACAAAUUAUGUCUUUCAGAUAAUUGUACCUAAUCACUAAAAAUAAUUUACACCAAAAUAAAUAAAUCAAUAAAAAAAUUACCAAUCAUCAAUUUUUGCAGUACUUCACCCUUAUUUGCUAUUUUUUAUAUGUGUGAGAUUUAUGAUUUAUUGUUGAUAUUGUUGUUAAACAAUAGUAGUCAGAAACACAAUAUUGCUUCAUAAGCAUCACAAUAAUAAUUGGAUGCAACGAAAGUAAAAAACAAAAU